rnacentral:rRNA from 1 species
UGUCAGCAGCCGCGGUAAUACGGAGGAUCCAAGCGUUGUCCGGAUUCAUUGGGUUUAAAGGGUGCGUAGGCGGGCUAUUAAGUCAGAGGUGAAAUCUUGCGGCUCAACCGUAAAAUUGCCUUUGAAACUGGUAGCCUUGAAUUCGGUCGAGGUGGAUGGAAUGUGUCAUGUAGCGGUGAAAUGCUUAGAUAUGACCCAGAACACCAAUUGCGAAGGCAGUUCACUAGACCGACAUUGACGCUGAGGCACGAAAGCGUGGGUAGCGAACAGGAUUAGAUACCCUGGUAGUCCACGCCCUAAACGAUGAUUACUCGCUGUUGGCGAUAUACAGUCAGCGGCUAAGCGAAAGCGUUAAGUAAUCCACCUGGGGAGUACGAUCGCAAGGUUGAAACUCAAAGAAAUUGACGG